rnacentral:rRNA from 1 species
GGGGAAUAUUGGACAAUGGGCGCAAGCCUGAUCCAGCCAUGCCGCGUGAGUGAUGAAGGCCCUAGGGUUGUAAAGCUCUUUCACCGGUGAAGAUAAUGACGGUAACCGGAGAAGAAGCCCCGGCUAACUUCGUGCCAGCAGCCGCGGUAAUACGAAGGGGGCUAGCGUUGUUCGGAAUUACUGGGCGUAAAGCGCACGUAGGCGAAUCGGUCAGUUAGGGGUGAAAUUCCAGGGCUCAACCCUGGAACUGCCUCUAAUACUGCCGAUCUAGAGUUCGAGAGAGGUGAGUGGAAUUCCGAGUGUAGAGGUGAAAUUCGUAGAUAUUCGGAGGAACACCAGUGGCGAAGGCGGCUCACUGGCUCGAUACUGACGCUGAGGUGCGAAAGCGUGGGGAGCAAAC